rnacentral:rRNA from 1 species
GUGCACCAGGCGCGAAAACUCCGCAAUGCGCGAAAGUGUGAACGGGCUACCCCGAGUGCCGUCCGCUGAGGAUGGCUUUUCUUUGCUGUAAGAAGGCAGAGGAAUAAGGAGAGGGCAAGUCUGGUGUCAGCCGCCGCGGUAAUACCAGCUCUCCGAGUGGUAGGGAUGAUUAUUGGGCUUAAAGCGUCCGUAGCUGGCCUCUCAAGUCUCUUGUUAAAUCCAGCGAUUCAAUCGUUGGACUGCGGGAGAUACUGUUAGGCUAGGGGACGGGAGAAGCCGACGGUAUUUCCGGGGUAGGGGUAAAAUCCUAUAAUCCCGGGAAGACCACCAGUGGCGUAGGCGGUCGGCUAGCACGCGCUCGACAGUGAGGGACGAAAGCUGGGGUAGCGAACCGGAUUAGAUACCUCGGUAGUCC